CCGUGUGUCCCCUUCGCCUGAGUGGAGCUAGGGCUUAAAUUACCCUCUGCGAAAAUCCCAUACCAUGGUUAAAUUUCUCCCACCCCAAUCGUCAGGCCAGAGUAUGCAGCUGUUUUCUCCCGCAGCUGAGAUAGUAAAAAUGUUGACUAACGAGCAACAGGAAGCCUUUAUUUUAAAUUCGGUCGUUAAAGCGGGGGUUUAUGCUCUCACCCUUCAGCGAGGUACAUGCUCCUGGCUGCUGGCUGCAAUAUUGCUUUAGUGAUGGGCUUUGUUUUGGAUUGUUUUGGAUCUCAUUUUUGAAAAAGAGCUUCUAGACAACGGUUAUGUCUGUGAUAAAAGGAUGACAGAUUUAGGUACUAGAAAAAGAAAGGAAAUAAACCGGGGAGUUGGGGGGGGGGUAUUUCUUGAAUCUGUUACUGUCGGUCACAUUAAAGCGUGGCCAUGGCAGGUAGCUGCUGGAAUGGAAUAGCGUGCCAGAGGGGAACCGGUCCAAGGCUGGGUGUCUGCCCGGGCCAGUGACACACCAGCCCUGGCCUCAGUCCGCACUUGGGUGGGUGGGGAUGGAGGCGGUAGCAAAGGUGGAAGUAAAUACCGCACUGCCACUCAUUUUCAGAACCUACAAUCCGCCUUGUAAUGCCGAUUAUCCAGUAAGUAAUCCCCAAUAACUUCUCCACUCUUGCGAGGGGAAGAGAGGGAAGGAUGAAGUCUUUGCGCCGACUUUUCCGCUUCUUCACUGGCACAAUCUCCCUUGGAGGUGUAGAGACAAAUGUCUGGCUCAAGUUUGAAAGGGUAGAGAUUCAUGCUUAGGGGGACCCUCCCGGAGAGCGUGUUCAAGAAAGGUGAAUGGGAAGCAAGAGGCAUUUGAUUGGAAAGGACGUAGUAACUGGGGAAAACGUAAGGAAGGAUGAAAGCGCAUAAAAACUAUUUCUAAUUUGUGGAGUGCGUGUGGGAAUGGAGAACACUCUCUCAGGUUAAUAACUUCGCCUCUGACCGUCCUGCGAAAAGGCAAGGAAGAGGUAGAACGAGUUUCCUGAACCGAAAUCAGAAGCGCCCGCCCUCUUCUUUGUGAUUGGCCGCCUCCUACCCUUUCAGGGAAAUUCUCGCCACGCUAUUAGUUGACGUGACCGGCCUUUAAGAACAUUCAGCAAACCAACUACGAGUGGGGCUUAGGGAUUUUGGGAAAUGUAGUUCUCUCUGGAGCUUCCGCAUCCACGACGAUGCCUGACACUUGGAACCUGUAAAAUUGUUUUGUUGCUUACUAUUUAUUGAAUCACUCAGUUAAUUCACUGGGUACAACGGACAAUAAAACAAAUUUUGGGGGAUUUCUUAAGCUAUUUCCAAGUGGCUCUAAAGUUUUUGUUUACUAAUUUAGUUCUCUGAAACACAUUUUGAGUUUGAGUCAUUGUGCUAGGUUACGAAGACACAAAAACGCAAUACUUGGCUUUCGACAAGGUCACCACAGCCUAAAGGGGGAAAACCUCACAUAAAAACAAAGCGUGCAACCAUAUGAUGAGUCCACUGAUGGAAUCUUGCACAAGGACUACAGAGAGUAAUUUAGCCAGCCAGAGAAGACCUAGAUGUGGUGAUACACACCAUAGUUGAAUCCAGAUGAAUAGGAGUUGACCAGGUGAAGAGGAGAAAGGGCAUCGGAAGAUUGUGAAUUCUUCCUGGCAUUCCCAAAACUUCAAUUCAUAGAGGACACAUGACAUUUAAGAUGAAUGUAGAACAUACCUGCUAAUGGAGAUUAGCUUUGUGAACUUGCAAUCCAUCAUCUUCAAGCUCAAGGAGACGAGGACAUACCCAGAAUUCUAUUAGAUUAAGGCAAAUAUCUGAAGUAAGCCAUGCCAAGAAGUCAUCUUCUUCUGGGAAUUUGGAGUUGAAUCAGACAAUGCUAAUCAGUCUGAACUAGGAAGUUG